rnacentral:rRNA from 1 species
AUGAACGCUAGCUACAGGCUUAACACAUGCAAGUCGAGGGGCAGCAUGGUCUUAGCUUGCUAAGGCCGAUGGCGACCGGCGCACGGGUGAGUAACACGUAUCCAACCUGCCGUCUACUCUUGGACAGCCUUCUGAAAGGAAGAUUAAUACAAGAUGGCAUCAUGAUUCCGCAUGGUUUCAUUAUUAAAGGAUUCCGGUAAAGGAUGGGGAUGCGUUCCAUUAGGUUGUUGGUGAGGUAACGGCUCACCAAGCCUUCGAUGGAUAGGGGUUCUGAGAGGAAGGUCCCCCACAUUGGAACUGAGACACGGUCCAAACUCCUACGGGAGGCAGCAGUGAGGAAUAUUGGUCAAUGGGCGCUAGCCUGAACCAGCCAAGUAGCGUGAAGGAUGAAGGCUCUAUGGGUCGUAAACUUCUUUUAUAUAAGAAUAAAGUGCAGUAUGUAUACUGUUUUGUAUGUAUUAUAUGAAUAAGGAUCGGCUAACUCCGUG